rnacentral:lncRNA from 1 species
AUUUCAAGACACUAUACGUAUAUUGUUUUUAUACUGAAAUCGAUAAAAAAUUAAAAAAAUAAAAAAUAUGUAACAAAUAUUGUUAAAAAAAAGUGUUUUGGAAUUUCCCUCUUGGGGGUACCAUUUUGGGUUAUUUCCCUAUGAGCGUAGUCCAGGCGGUAAGACAUUGAAAUUUUAAGAAAUAAGAAAGGGAAAAUGAACUUAAUUAAUAACAUUUGAUACACAUGGUAUAAAAUUAACAAUUUGAAGAUAUAACAAGUUUAAAUACAUAAAAGUUUGACCAUUGUUACUACACGUUGUCAUGGUUGUGACGUGAUGUUGUUGAUGAAAUACAGUAGUUCCGGUUAGUAGGCGGGGCUUAUAGGUUAGUUGAGGUCAUUGACGUAUAAAGCUAACGUUUAUACGUAUAGCUUUAUCUGUAUAGUAAAAUAGCUGAUUGCAGUAUAAUGAAUCUUAAUCCGUAGGUUUAUCAUUACUGUUUGUAUUUAUAUUUUUGUUAUAUUAUUAUACUCUUAUAUGGAAUUAAGUGCUUUUUAUGAACUGAUUACUACUGGUUGUUUUGUUUUG